AUUUAAUCUACGAAAAUGUAUAAAAUGUGAAUUUAAAAUGUAUAUGGGAAGAGUGUAUUGGAUUACGAAUCCACCUAUUAUUAUCUAUUCCAAUUCUCGACUACGUAGCUAGUUUUGCUCUUACAUUCUUGACAAUCGAUAAUUCUAUUGUAAUUAAUUUUCCUUUCCAAGACAAAUUAAAUCUAUCCUAUUCACGACCCGAUCCUAUUCCUAGUCCGAAUUCAUAUGAAUAAAACACAUUCAAUUUUACAAUUAUCUCAAAGAUUGCACACGUGAUAAAUCUUAUUCCUAAAAUUUAUUACACAUAUGUUAAUCCUGCAAUGUUCUAAACUUAUUGUGAACCUCCUAACACUAUAACAAGCAACUAUAUAUUUAAUUGGUGAUCAGACAAUCAAAUAAUAAAAUUAAGCAUGCAAAAUUA
rnacentral:lncRNA from 1 species